rnacentral:rRNA from 1 species
UACGUAGGGUGCAAGCGUUGUCCGGAAUUAUUGGGCGUAAAGAGCUCGUAGGCGGUGUGUCGCGUCGGCCGUGAAAACCUGCAGCUUAACUGUGGGCUUGCGGUCGAUACGGGCAUCACUGGAGUUCGGCAGGGGAGACUGGAAUUCCUGGUGUAGCGGUGAAAUGCGCAGAUAUCAGAGGAACACCGGUGGCGAAGGCGGGUCUCUGGGCCGAUACUGACGUGGAGGAGCGAAAGCGUGGGGAGCGAACAGG